UACUUCCCAUUUAGCAUUAGCAAUCCGGUCGACAUACCUGGCAAAAACAUGCAUCCCUCUAAGGCCAUAAAAAUGACCUGGAAAAAUAUAGAAACAAAAGAAGCCCACAUACACAAUAUAGUAGUGGUUCAUCACAAAAAUCAUAGAACUGAAAUAGAAACCAAUGACAAAGCAAUGCAAAAGGACAUUGUAAAGCCAUUCAAUCGGGGCUGGACUUGCAUCUUCCAUUUUAAGGUUUGAAGUUUGUACUCUAAUAGUUAAAUAAGCAUGUUUGGCAGCUUGGCACCUCCCACUACUAGCAACACUAGCAAAUCAUUCAACAAAUAAACAAGGGAGGAGGAGGAUAAAAAAAACAAAACAAAACAAAACCAAACCUCCCUAAUUAAUGAAAAACCGUCCAAUAUCCUUCUUCUCCUCCACUAACAUCGCACUUCACCUUCUCUUCCUUCUCUUGUAUAAACUUACAGCUUGUGACACCUGUUACCAUAAUCCAAAAGACCCAUUUAAUAAAAUACUAUAUAUUUUUAUAUAAAUAAAUAUGCAAAUUACAAGAAAUGAAACCAUAAUUCCAAAGCUUAUAAAAUUUAGAAAAAUAUUUUCAAAGCUGUUUCUGUUGUCUCUUUGUCUGUCCCUUGUAUAUAUAUUCAUAUAUACAUAAUUUCUUUUCUUUCUUUCCUCCACCACAGAACGAAUGUCGGAACCAAGAAACCCUUCUUUUUGUUCCCUUUAAAUUUCCCUAAAUUCUCUCUCUGUCUCUCUAUUCCUCCCUUUUAUCAUUCCCUUUCCUUUCUUUUACGUGAACCAACAAAGAUUUGUGGAAAAGAUUUCUGAGACUCGAGGGAAAAGAAAGAAAGAAAGAAAGAGAAAUGAGCAUGGUUGUCAUCAUUUCUCUUCAAACUUCUUUCUUGAAAGCCUUAGGAUCGAAGGCAGAGAUGUUAAUCAUAUAAUAGGGGAAGUAUAUAUAAUCAUCUUCCUGUAAUUACACAGAGAGCAAUAGCUAGCAGCCUAGCACACAAAGAGUGGAGGAGAGAGAAGGGUUUAUAAUGCUAUAUCAAAUAUUGAAUCUUAUAUUUGAGAAGCUGCAAAAAAGAAAAGUAAGGAGCAGAAAAUAAAUAAUUAAAGUCAGAGGGUGUGAAGAUGGGUGUUUCAUACUGUCUUUCUUUCUUUUCAAGGUUACUUUAUAAGAAGGAAACUUGAAAGAGUAAAGAGCAAAACUAAGAAAAGUGGCUAGCUACCCAAAAGCAACAAGGUAUGUGGGUGUCACCUGAACUACUGUUUAUUUGAAUAGAGCGUGAGGGAGAUUCCUGGAUCAAGUUAUGGCUAGAUGGUUGUUAAAAUUUUAAUUACUCAUCUUGGGAUUUUCAAGCCCCUUUAAAAAAUCUUGUCAUUAUGGAGUCUGCUAAUCUCCAUCACCAGCAUCAUCAGCUUCAAGGCCAGCUUGUUGGGUCUUCUUCUUUAACUGCCCCGUCUGGAGAUGUAGCUGGAAGCCCUCAUGCUUGGACCCAAAACAUUACUUUGAGUAAUGGUAACUUCAAUCCUAACUGUAAUGGUGUAUCCUUAAAUCCAAGGCAGAAAAAUGAAUUUUUAAUCCCUCCUCUCAACAGUUCCAUGAUCCAGGAUUUGGGAUUCCCUUGGAAUAGUAAUGCAGGGUGCUUCACCAACCAGUCUGCUCAUGACCUACAGCUUGUAAAAAUCAAACAAGAAUUGUCAGAAUCUUUCCCCAAAUUUACAGAGAUGCUAAACAAUCCAUCGACUGUUGAAGAUUCCCAUCUAUCUUCCACAAGCUACAUUAAAGAUGAGGAAAAAGAUAUGACUGAUCUAAGCGAGAAGCUCUUGCUCAAGACCAUUUCUUCUGGUUUUCCGAUCAAUGGGCAUCUGUUUUCGCCUGCACAAAUUUACUCUACCGCUCAUGACUGUUCUAACCUUGGAAAUUCCAUACCCAGAAGAGGGAACUUUAGCCAGAUAUAUCCGAGUAUAAACAUUUCAAACUUGAACCGAUCACCACCAUCGAUCUCAGGCUCCUUUGACAUGAACUUGCAGGCCUUGGAUCUCUUAACCUCUACAAGAUUUAAUGGGAGUUUUGGGCAGCCUUCCCAUGAUAAUCUUGGCAUAUAUAAAGACAGCAUUUCUUACGGUCUUGAUCGUAUGCAAAUGCCAUCAUGUAGCCCUAGUAAAGUGAGUUCUUCUUCUUCUUCUUCUUAUAUGGCCAUGCCAGCAGAAUAGUUAUGAUUAUGGCAGCUAGCUAUGGAUGCAUUAAUCAUAAAAAUAAAAUUGAAAAGAUGAAACCCUUUACUAUAAAACUUUUUCUUUAGCAAAUGGUUAAGGAGCCAAAAGAAAAGCUUCUCUUUUUGAUACACAUGCAAGAGGUAGCUCCUUCAGCUUUAAACACUAAUCUCUUUGUCAGAAGAAUCAGUCUUUAUUAUGAUUUUUAAAAGAAUGACUUUUAUAGUGAUCAUUCCACUAAUAUUUUUGGUCCUUGAAUUUCGAAGGCAUCUUCCUUCACUACCAACAAAAUAUCGGAGGCAAAGAGGCCCAGCAACAGCUUGAUGGAGCCAAAGGCAACACAAGCUGUAACCAAGAAAUCGCGAUUGGAGUCACGCGCUUCCUGCCCUCCCUUUAAGGUUAGGAAAGAGAAAUUAGGAGAUAGAAUUGCAGCUUUGCAGCAGCUGGUUGCACCCUUUGGCAAGACAGACACAGCGUCCGUUCUAAUGGAGGCUAUUGGAUAUAUAAAAUUCCUUCAAAACCAGGUCGAGACAUUAAGCGUACCUUAUAUGAAGUCAUCUCGGAACAAGACCAGCACCAGAACUACGCAAGCAUUUCAGGGUUUAACAAUGGAGGAAGGAUACCAUGAUGAGCCAAGGAAAGAUUUAAGAAGCCGAGGGCUGUGUCUGGUGCCAUUAUCUUGCAUGUCUUACGUAACCGGCGAUGGUGGAGGAGAAGGAGGAGGAGGCAUCUGGCCACCGCCUAAUUUUGGCGGAGGAACAUAGGACUGUAUUUUAAGCAAACACAUUUAACUGUUGGGCAAACAAGAUUAAUUAGUAAGUUCCUGCUUGUUUAAGCUCAUGUUGAUUAGGAAUUUAAGGUUAAUUAAUCUAGUUUGUUUUAAUGGAGCAAGUUUGGUCAUCCUGUAAAAUGCAGGAUAGACCAAAUUUGAUCCAUUAACAAUUCAGAUAACAUUCAUAUGUAAUUUAA
rnacentral:misc_RNA from 1 species